AUAAUUAUAAGUAAAAUCUGCUCCAUGAAAAAUAAAUAGCCGCAGAAAUUUAACUGUGCUAAGGUAGCAUAAUCAUUUACCUUUUAAUUAAAGGUUUGUAUGAAUGAUUUAACAUUUAAUUUAUUUUUUUAUUAAACUUUAUUUAAUUUAAAUUAAAAAUAAAAAUGUUUUUAUGAAAAAAAAAGACGAUAAGACCCUAUUGAACUUAACUUAAGUUAAGCUGGGGAAGCUAAUUAAAUAUAAUUUUGAUUACAAAAAAUAAAAUAAUUUCUAAUACAAUUAAAUUUAAAGUUACCAUAGGGAUAACAGCGUAAUAUAAUUUUAAAGCUCAUAUUAAAAAUUAAGCUUACGACCUCGAUGUUGAAUUAGAAUUUCUAAUAAACGCAAGCGUUUACAAAGUAGGUCUGUUCGACCUUUAAUAAU
rnacentral:rRNA from 1 species